UUAUGAUUACAAAUCAUCGGUUCUAAUGGGAACAGUCAUUAGAAGUAAUGGGGAAAGUUUGGUGUAAGUCCAACGCUGUCCCGCAACUGUGAUGAGAUUAUCAACAGAUCUCUUAGUCAGAAUGCCCGCCGAGCAACAGUUAUCAGU
rnacentral:ncRNA from 2 species